AGAAUCCCAGGAAUCUGAAAGUGGCAUGUUAACAUUUGAUUCAAGACUCAAGAGUAUCCAACAAUCCAACAACUUGGACAAAAUGCAAGGCUAGCAUCCAACAGUUGGGUCCUCUGAGCCUCCUGUGCUUGGUUCAUUUAAGGCCAAAAUUUCCAAAUAUGUAGAGUAACAUUAUACUAGUAACACAUUCAGAGGACAACGAAAUAAUCAUUUUUUUUUUCCGAAAAGUUAAAGAAAUAACUACUAACAAAACAGUGGUUAACUGCAGUGAAAGAAAUGGAACAAGUCUACAUGUCUUUUAUGGAACUAAUCCACAUGUCAUUUAUGUAGACUAGCGCAGGUGCGGACAGAUAGGACAUUACAUUAUUUGUGCAAUUACAUGAUUCACAUUAUUUGUGCUAGUACAUGAACUUAGCUAGUAGGUCAAUGGGUUUGGCUUAUUGUGAUAACACCAUCCAAACCAAAAGUGGUAUUUAAAGUUAAAUUCGUCCUCAACUUGAAGAGGACCUUGGCUAAAUGGUUGGUGUUGAUGCUGUGUGACAGAAGGCGACAUGUUCAAAUCAUAACA
rnacentral:lncRNA from 1 species